UAAUUUUAGGAGCCUCUAUCAUUGAAGCUGGGACCUCAGCAAGUUACAAAAAUAAUAAAGCAAAACUGUACUGGCAUGGGAUAGGAUUCCUAAAUUAUGAAAUGCCUCCAGAUAUUAUUCUUCAGGUAAAAGUGAAAUUAAGAAGAACCAAGUUCUAUUUGAUUUUAUGAUAAUUUAUCAUGAAAAUGUUAACAUUUAAAAUGGAGGCAGUUUGACAUUGUUCAAACUCAUUACACACCUGAAAUCUUCUUACAUUUUAAGUAAUUAUACUGCAUUAAUCCCUUCUUGUUUUAUAGUCAUUAAAUUAUCAUUGAUGACCAUAUGUGAUUUAGAGAUAAGUGAACUAGAUUAUUUGAUUCUCAAAUAGAAAAUAUAAAUUCCAUAUCUUUUAAAAGUUGAUUCUGUGGCCUCUUUUCCAUUGAAAAUUUCAGUUGUUCAGACAACAUUUAUCAAAAGUGCUUGUGUUCUCAAUUCUAGUGUUUUGAUAAAUGCUAUUCACAUCACAUGCUCUUAAGUCCAUUUACAACUAAAGCAAUAACCAAAUAAGAUUUCCACUGAAACUUUCAGAUACAUCCCAAAGGCAGUAGAUGUUAACAGACUGUAGGGCAUGUCUUAACUACAAUCCACAUAUCUGAAGUUGGUUUCAAAUUCAGAAGUACCUCCAGGGACAACUCUGAAUCUUAUUCCAAGCCUUAUUUUGGAUCUAGACAGUGAUACACACCUCAUUUUCCUUUACCAUCAUCAUCCCCUCAACCACCACAAUCAUUACUGCCACCACUGUCCUUAGCACUACCAUCUCCAUCACUACCAUGAUCACCAUCAUGUCACUUCCACCCACUCAUCAUUGACUCCUCAUUCACUACCAUCACCAUGAUCUCUACCACAUCUCUUCUGUUGCUACCAUUAUUAACCACCAUCACCAUCACCACUAUUACCGUGAUCAUUUCCACUAUUAUCACUGUGGUCAUUCCCAAAUUUACCACCGUCUCCAUUGUCCCAAUCAUGAUUACCAUCACCAUCACCAUCACCACCUCCACCACCAUCACUUCCACUGCUAUUAUUAUUACCACCAUCAUCACUACCACCACCACCACUACUGUCUUCAUUAGUGUCAUCAGCACUACCACCAUUCAUCCCCUUCAGCUGCCUUUUCGUAUUUCAAGGUCCAACUAGAGCAGUGAAAGAAACAUGCUCGGAUGAUAAAGAGCUCUGAUUAAUAGAAGAAUAAAGUACUCUGGAAAAAACAAUCAAACUUAGGGGGUAUCUUAGAAAUUUUUCUUUUGAUAUAUAUCUUGAACAAAGGAUCUGCAGUCAAUAGUGGUUAGUUCCCCUGUAUUCCAGGGUAGAUUUACAUACCCAAAGAAGAGAUUAAUUUGAUGUUUUCUUUCCAGCCAGAUGUCCAUCCUGGAAAAUGCUGGGCCUUUCCAGGUUCCCAGGGUCAUAUUCUAAUCAAGCUUGCCAGGAAAAUCACACCAACGGCUGUUACCAUGGAGCACAUUUCAGAGAAGGUGUCACCCUCAGGAAACAUCUCCAGUGCACCCAAGGAAUUUUCUGUCUAUGUGAGAAACUAUCUAAAUAUGUCAUUAAAAGCUGGAUUAUCAUAUUAAUGAUACAACUAACUAGUUGUAUUACUUAUUUCCUGGGCCUUGGUCUUAUUAUCCUCAAAGUGACAGGGUUAAACCAGAUGAUUUCUAUUCCUUAGUUUUAUUUUUUACUUUUAUCAGUUAUAUGUGACAAAAAGUUAUACAUGUCCAUAAAGUUUAUAUUAUCUCACUCUCCUUGUUCCCAAUUCUUUCCCACAGUUUUAGCUGUUUUGGAGGGUCCUUGUCUUCAUAUUUGCUUGUCCAUUAUUUCUUCAUUUUUCAAUUUUGGUUCUUAAUUAUUCAGUUUUGCUGACAUCCUCCAGUAGAAAAUGAAUUAUUAACUCUCUUCUGUGGGUUCCCCAUCAUCCUCCCAGGAUCUUUUUGUUAAAUUCACAUACCAUUUAGUUUACUCAUUUGAUGUGCACACUUCAGGAGCCUUUGGUAUAUAUACAAAAUCACAUACCUAUCACCACAAUCAACUUUAGAACAUUUUCACUACCCCCCAAAACAAUCUCCACAUGACUUAGCUGUCACCUCUAAUUCCCUCAUCACAAGCCCAGUCCUGACAACCACUAAUCUACUUUGUCUCCAUAAUUUUACCUAUUUUGGACAUUUUAUAUAAACAAAAUCAUAUUAAAUGUGGUCUUUAGUGAAUAAUGUUUUAAGGCUCAUCCAUGCUGUAAUGUGUCAAUAUUUGAUUACUUUUUAAAUUGCUGAAUAAUAUUUCAUUGUAUAAAUAAAC
rnacentral:lncRNA from 1 species